UAGAAAAAAGAUAAAUCUAAGUAGCAUCUUAAUUUGACUAUAAUUCCAAAAAAUGUUUAUAUAACAAAAUCCUAACCCUAACCUAAACUAAAAUUCUAUAUAAAUCACAUGCCGUCAUUAACUCUUUUUUCUUAAACUCUCUUCCCCUACGUGCCUUCCCUGCAACACAAACUUCAAGGUAUUUUUUUUUCUAUUUUUUGUUCUCUUUGUCCUAUUAUAGUAUUAUCUCUUAUCAUUCAUCACAAUUAAUAUUCGUAGAUGCCAGAUUCAAGUCAAGACACUAAUCCCUGUGAAAAAAAGGAAUGCAACCGAUGAUCCUUCUUCGACGGCCAAAAAACAAAAUGUUCAACGGUCGGAUGUAUGGGACCACUUUACCAAGCUCAAAAAUGAUUUAGUAAGGUGUGGGUGUAACUAUUGUGGUGCAAUACUUGGGUGAAAACCAUCUAGUGGGACGAGUACUUUGUGAAACCAUAAUAAAAUCUGUAAGGCAUACAUCAAUUUUAACCAAUUUGAAGCUCAGAAAAAGUUAGCUCAAAAAGAAUCAGGUGGUUUAGAUGUUAUGAAAUAUUGUCCAAUUGCUUGUCGAAGUGCAUUAGCGAAAAUGAUUGUGCUGGAUGAGCUGCCUAUUGUUUUCGUUGAAAAGGUUGGGUUUAGGAAUUUUUGUAGUAUCUAUACCUCAUUUUACUAUUGAAAAAAUUCUUUUCAAAGAUCAAUCAUUAUAGAUAUUGUCGAGCUGUACUAUCAAGAAAAGGCUAUGUUAAUGCUCUUUUUUAGUGCGUAUAAGCAAAGAGUUUGUCUAGCUACAGAUAUAUGGUUAGCGCCAACUACUACUACCAAUCUUUAAGAUGACAUUUUAGAGAUUGACCGUGGUAUAUCGUGGGUCGAUAUUUUCGUUAGAAAGUUAGAGAUUUUUAUUUUAACUAAUAUUAUUUAUAUAUGAAUAACAUAUUAAGAGGUAUACUACAUGCCUAUAAUUUUAUCAAAAAAAUAAAUAAAAUUGUCUUUAAUAUGAUCUAUUGACAUAUGCUAUUGUUAUUUUUAAUAUAUGAUCCACAUUGGGGCGAUUUUUAUAACUAAAAAUUUUAAAACUUUAAAUUUUA
rnacentral:sRNA from 1 species